CUAAGCUCUCCAUAGAGCAGCAAUCUGAAAAAUGUUGGCUUGCUGAUUUCAACAAAUUAGGACUGGGGAAGAUUAAGAAAAUGGAGUCUUCCAAUUUCAAAAGUCUCUGCAUUUGCCAUAGAAGCUGGGGCUUGUUUGUUCCUUCCCUUUCAGCCCAUGCAGUGGGAUGUAAGGAGAGGGAGGGGACCAUUGAGAUUCUUUGAUUUCUAGGCUGUUGGGGGCAAGGAAUCUGAAAAUCCUGGACACUCCUUCCCUAGAGGACUGCCAGGAUCUGUUGGGCUCCUAAUAUUCCUGACUUUGAAAAAUCUGCUAAAGAGGCCGACUGCAGGCGAAGACAUUGGAAGUCUGUCUGUUGAAGUUACAAGAAUCCUAAGGAAUCAAUCAGCAGGAAUUCAAGCAGGAUCCCAAUGGAGAAGUGUCCCUUGACUUUGAUUUAAAAUGUAUUAGUUAAAAGUUAACUAGCAACUACAACAGUAGGUGAAGGAAAGCAAGCAGUCUGUGUAACAGGAGCUGAACAUCCCAAGGAAUGCUGGUUGCAGAGUCAGAUGCAGCUAAUACGAGUUUUCUCAUGGAAUUUCUGCGUCUUAGUGUCUCACAGUGACAUCACAUGUCUACCAGCUUAAAACUAAACUGAUCCCCUUUCUUAGUUUUUCAGCUACAGCUUGUCCUGAUCUUCUUAUUCCUAAGCUCUGAAAUGCUUUCAGAGUCAGCUGACAGUUGUCCACAGAGCACACUGAUCAAGCAGCUGAAGACUGAUCUAAAUCAUGAUGUGUCUGAACUGAACUCCAGUGUUGGCCCAAGCCCUCUUUUCCAGACACUUUGGACAUAGAUAGAAGUUACUGACAAAAAGCAGGCAUUUUAGAUGGAAAAAAAAACCUGUUCAGAAAGCAGGCUGUGUUACCUACCAUGCUAAAACAGUGUUCACAAGCAGUGGAUAAACACCAGAUAAACAGAGGAACAGCGAGGUGGAGUAGAAAACUGGAAACAUGGGAAAGAGUAAAGGCAAAAAGGCUCAGCCUGGACAAGGAUUGCUCUGUUCAGCUUGGAGUGCCAUGAUGGAACGAUUCACUCUCUUGUGCCACCAGCCCAGUUUUGUGUGGAUUCCUACUGAUUCUUCCAACCUGUGGCAAGUGACCAUUUGCUCACUUGCCAUGGGCAUUAACAUUAUGGCAGUAAUUGUAAGUGGCUCUGUUUUGUGUACUGACUUGCUACAUCACAUUUGCAAGUAAAGACCAGCCUGAAGAGUACUUGCCAGAAAAACUCUGCACCUGUUCUCAGAUCUUUGGCAGCAAACCAGUAAAGAAAUCCAGGCCAGUUAACACUGGCCAAAGAAGUGGGCUGAAAGUUCGAAGUGGAAGGGUUUUAUAGCUGAGAGCUCCAGUAGCUGCCUGAGCACUUGUACUAAUGACUUGGCUGUACAGGUGAAGCCAGCAGGAUGCAGGACAAAAAUAUGGGGGUCAGAAGGCCAGAAUCAGAGGCUGUGCUAUGGGGAGCCAGUGGGAAAAACAGGGAAAUCUUUUUUAUAAAAUGCACAGAGAAAGAAACUGGGCAUUAAGCUGUGCUUUAAAUGGCAAAGGCAUCUUACAUGCAGGCCUCUUCUUGGAAAAGAGACAUGGAGAGUGGCAUGGUAGUGUAGGACUGACAGAGCUAUCAUAAGAGGGUGAGGAUUUCAUCUUCUAGAAGUAGCUUAUGUCAGUUGUCUGAGCACACAGGCCAAGUGGGUAGGACCCAGAGCCACAGGAUCAAGGACUUCUCUCUGAACUCAGUGUCCUGCAUUUGGCACUGGAGCUGUGACCUAGCAGCAGACAGCAAGUAAGAGUCUCCCACCACCCUGCCACCCCACUCAGCUGUUUAUCUCUCCCAUGCACCCCUUCACCUCUCUCCUUUUCCCAGAUUUCCCUUGUGCCAGAUGCCACAGCUGACAUCCUCUGGGAACAGCAGUCUACUGCAUGCCUGCAAGCUACAGGGAGGAGACUGCUGUGUCCCAGGCAGAUGGGUAGAAGAACUGGAUCUUGAGAGGGUUGUCUCCUGCCUAGGGCAGGAAGCAGCAGCUCUUGCCUGCUUUGCUGCUUUUGGUGCCAUGAAGCUUCAGUUUGGGUUACCCAUGGACACACAUAGGUGGAGUCACUCAGUAUACUGAAAUCCAUUGGGAGGGUGAACGGACAAGUGGGGAAUUUGAGUUCCCUAUGACACUGUAAUUAAAUGGAAAGAAGAGAACAAUUGGUGGGGUGAAACCUGAGGUUUAAUGUUGUUCUUGACCUGAUUAAAACCCCAAGUUGCUCAGGACACAUUUCCUGUAAUUUUUCAAACCCUUUCCCUUUUCUCUUUCCACUGUUUUGUUUGCAAUGCUCUUCAAGUGUGUGUGCUUUGACCUAUUUGUUGUCCUGCAUAUACCUAAUGAAGCACAAAAAUGCCUAGUGCCUAUCAGAUAAUGUAUUUCUUUACGGGUUUGUAGAUGGUCACAUAUAAACACAUGCAUUAAAGGCUUCACUUUGGUUGGAAAAUAGCACUUCCUAAUGUGCUCAGCACCCCACAUUGCAUUUUACUGGAGUAAAAAUAAAGGGAGGCUGUCUCAGCCUACCUGGGUUACU
rnacentral:lncRNA from 1 species